rnacentral:rRNA from 1 species
UACGUAGGGUCCAAGCGUUAUCCGGAAUCACUGGGCGUAAAGCGUGCGUAGGUGGCGCGUUAAGUGUGAUGUUAAAUCGCGGGGCUCAACCCUGUCGAUGCAUCGCAUACUGGCGUGCUAGAGGGAAGCAGAGGCAAGUGGAAUUGGUAGUGUAGCAGUGAAAUGCGUAGAUAUUACCAGGAACACCAAUGGCGAAGGCAGCUUGCUGGGCUUCUUCUGACACUGAGGUACGAAAGCGUGGGGGAGCGAACAGG